rnacentral:lncRNA from 1 species
GUGCUAGGAAAGCUAGCCUCCAGGCUAUUUAAGGUUACCACCAUCCCUCGAGGAUGAGCCAAUUCUCCUAAUCCCUUUUUUCUUCUCUCUUGGAUUCUGAAGAUUUCUAAUUAUUGUAUGGCCUAACCUUGGUUGCAUUGCUCUCCAACCUGUCCGACCUAACAAAUCUCAACAUUGAUUAACAGCUGAUUUUUAUGAAACAUUAGUCCAGCUUGGGUCAAAUUAUAGAUAUGAUGAUCAAUGAAGAUCACAUGAGCAUCUUCCAUGUUUUGACCUAACCCAACCCCAAAUUAACAAAUGACCUAAAAUUGAUGGCUCCUUGCUUUGACC